rnacentral:rRNA from 1 species
GAUGAACGCUGGCGGCGUGCCUAAUACAUGCAAGUCGAGCGAACAGAUAAGGAGCUUGCUCCUUUGACGUUAGCGGCGGACGGGUGAGUAACACGUGGGUAACCUACCUAUAAGACUGGGAUAACUUCGGGAAACCGGAGCUAAUACCGGAUAAUAUUUCGAACCGCAUGGUUCGAUAGUGAAAGAUGGUUUUGCUAUCACUUAUAGAUGGACCCGCGCCGUAUUAGCUAGUUGGUAAGGUAACGGCUUACCAAGGCGACGAUACGUAGCCGACCUGAGAGGGUGAUCGGCCACACUGGAACUGAGACACGGUCCAGACUCCUACGGGAGGCAGCAGUAGGGAAUCUUCCGCAAUGGGCGAAAGCCUGACGGAGCAACGCCGCGUGAGUGAUGAAGGUCUUCGGAUCGUAAAACUCUGUUAUUAGGGAAGAACAUACGUGUAAGUAACUGUGCACGUCUUGACGGUACCUAAUCAGAAAGCCACGGCUAACUACGUGCCAGCAGCCGCGGUAAUACGUAGGUGGCAAGCGUUAUCCGGAAUUAUUGGGCGUAAAGCGCGCGUAGGCGGUUUUUUAAGUCUGAUGUGAAAGCCCACGGCUCAACCGUGGAGGGUCAUUGGAAACUGUAAAACUUGAGUGCAGAAGAGGAAAGUGGAAUUCCAUGUGUAGCGGUGAAAUGCGCAGAGAUAUGGAGGAACACCAGUGGCGAAGGCGACUUUCUGGUCUGUAACUGACGCUGAUGUGCGAAAGCGUGGGGAUCAAACAGGAUUAGAUACCCUGGUAGUCCACGCCGUAAACGAUGAGUGCUAAGUGUUAGGGGGUUUCCGCCCCUUAGUGCUGCAGCUAACGCAUUAAGCACUCCGCCUGGGGAGUACGACCGCAAGGUUGAAACUCAAAGGAAUUGACGGGGAUCCGCACAAGCGGUGGAGCAUGUGGUUUAAUUCGAAGCAACGCGAAGAACCUUACCAAAUCUUGACAUCCUUUGACAACUCUAGAGAUAGAGCUUUCCCCUUCGGGGGACAAAGUGACAGGUGGUGCAUGGUUGUCGUCAGCUCGUGUCGUGAGAUGUUGGGUUAAGUCCCGCAACGAGCGCAACCCUUAAGCUUAGUUGCCAUCAUUAAGUUGGGCACUCUAAGUUGACUGCCGGUGACAAACCGGAGGAAGGUGGGGAUGACGUCAAAUCAUCAUGCCCCUUAUGAUUUGGGCUACACACGUGCUACAAUGGACAAUACAAAGGGCAGCGAAACCGCGAGGUCAAGCAAAUCCCAUAAAGUUGUUCUCAGUUCGGAUUGUAGUCUGCAACUCGACUACAUGAAGCUGGAAUCGCUAGUAAUCGUAGAUCAGCAUGCUACGGUGAAUACGUUCCCGGGUCU